rnacentral:rRNA from 1 species
GUGGGGAAUAUUGGACAAUGGGGGGAACCCUGAUCCAGCCAUGCCGCGUGUGUGAAGAAGGCCUUUUGGUUGUAAAGCACUUUAAGCGAGGAGGAGGCUACCGAGAUUAAUACUCUUGGAUAGUGGACGUUACUCGCAGAAUAAGCACCGGCUAACUCUGUGCCAGCAGCCGCUGUAAUACAGAGGGUGCAAGCGUUAAUCGGAUUUACUGGGCGUAAAGCGCGCGUAGGUGGCCAAUUAAGUCAAAUGUGAAAUCCCCGAGCUUAACUUGCGAAUUGGAUACGAUACUUGUUGGAUAGAGUAUGAGAGAGUAUGGAAGAGUUCCAGGUAUAGCGGUGAAAUGCGUAGAGAUCUGGAGAAAUACCGAUGGCGAAGGCAGCAAUCUGGCCUAAUACUGGCACUGAGGUGCGAAAGCAUGAGGAACAAACAGGAUUAGAAACCCGGGUAGUCA